rnacentral:lncRNA from 1 species
UAUACCUAAAGCAGUGGGAGGGGCUGCAGGUCAUGUGACUGACUCAGUAACGGUUUAGAAUGUUCAGUUUUCAAAAGGAUGACAGUUAGAAAUCAGUUGAGCCUUGAGCCUGUUCGAAGUCAGUUGAGCCUUGAGCCUGUUAGAAAUCAGUUGAGCCUUGAGCCUGUUCGAAGUCAGUUGAGCCUUGAGCCUGUUAGAAAUCAGUUGAGCCUUGAGCCUGUUCGAAGUCAGUUGAGCCUUGAGCCUGUUAGAAAUCAGUUGAGCCUUGAGCCUGUUCGAAGUCAGUUGAGCCUUGAGCCUGUUAGAAGUCACUUGAGCCUUGAGUCUGUUAGACGUCAUUUGAGCCUUGAGCCUGUUAGAAGUCAGUUGAGCCUUGAGUCUGUUAGAAGUCAGUUGAGCCUUGAGCCUGUUAGAAGUCAGUUGAGCCUUGAGCCUGUUAGAUCAGUUGAGCCUUGAGCCUGUUAGAAGUCAGUUGAGCCUUGAGUCAGCUUGAGUGUAGGAGUUUAAACUGUUGUGGCUUGUGUUUUAAACUGUUUUUAAAGAGAGCUUAUAAAACAAUGUAGUUUAUGAAGAAACAGUUAAAGUUUAUAAGUUAAAGAUACAAACUCUCUAAAUGUUUUGAAGUUUUUAACACCGGGCAAAGAAAUGUGUCUGUAUCUAUAAAUAGAUGAAGUUAUCAGUAAACAAACGUGUUGCUUUAAAAUAAUAAUAAUAAUAAUUAUUAUUAUUAUUAUUAUUAUGCAACUUGGGACAAUAGGAUUCUCAGUAAGAAUCAGCAGGAAAGCCUUGCUUGUAGAAGUGCAUCUACAUUGUGUAAUUGACACAGUUUAACACCAUUUUCACUGCAAGGGUUCAGUGCAAUGGAAUCCUGGGAGUUGUAGUUUGGUGAGGCACCAGAAACUCUUUGGCAGAGAAGGCCAAAGAUCUCGUUAAACUACAACUCCCACGGUUCCAUAGCAUUAAACCAGCGUGGCUGAUGUGGCGUUGAACUGCAUUAAAUUCAACAGUGUAGAUAUACACGCUGUGUGUCCUUUUGAGCCUUGAUAUGCAAUUACGUGAAACAAUGGCACGGCAUCCAUAAAGUCCGUUAUGCAUAAUCCCUCCAAAGGAAUUUACACACAUAUAACACACCAAUAGGAUGCUUGAAUCAUGAGUUUAUUCAUCAAUAUUCUUAUCCGUGAAGAGGACUAAAGAAGUUGUGUUUUUAAACAGUACAAAGAGUUGAAGGGUCGUCUUCCUUGUAGAACUUAUAUUUACAGGUUUCGGGAUCAACCACCGAGAUGCAUCCUUCCAUAACUGCAAUGCCACCAAACCUAAAAAGAAAAGGAAACAAGGAAAGCCAUAGAUGAAUUAUGGCAUAUAUAUAUAUAUAUAUGGUAGCCAUGGCAGCCAAUCCUAGGAGUCUCUCUCUAAGCUCCUCCCUCUUUCUAACCACACUCAAGAUGGCUGCCUGGCAUUCCUCUACAAAAUGGAGGCUUGCCUCACUCACUGUUACCCAGGCUUCAUUCCAGGCCUAAUAGGUAAGGUUCACUACAUGGUCCCUUCACUCGAUUUACAGUUUUUCUGCCAAUAGUGGAUAUUUUAAUAAUACAGUAGAGUCUCACUUAUCCAACAUAAACAGGCCGGCAGAAUGUUGGAUAAGCGAAUAUGUUGGAUAAUAAGGAGGGAUUAAGGAAAAGUCUAUUAAAUAUCAAAUUAGGUUAUGAUUUUACAAAUUAAGAACCAAAACAUCAUGUUUUACAACAAAUUUGACAGAAAAAGUACUUCAAUACGCAGUAAUGCUAUGUAGUCUCAUUUAUCCAACAUAAACGGGCCAGCAGAACGUUGGAUAAGCGAAUAUGUUGGAUAAGGAGGGAUUAAGGAAAAGCCUAUUAAACAUCAAAUUAGGUUAUGAUUUUACAAAUUAAGAACCAAAACAUCAUGUUUAACAACAAAUUUGACAGAAAAAGUAGUUCAUUACACAGUAAAGCUAUGUAGUAAUUACUGUAUUUACGAAUUUAGCACCAAAAUAUCACUAUGUAUUGAAAACAUUGACUACAAAAAUGCAUUGGAUAAUCCAGAAUGUUGGAUAAGCGAGUGUUGGAUAAGUGAGACUCUACUGUAAUAAUAAUAAUAAUAAUAAUAAUAAUAAUAAUAAUAAUAAUAAUAACACAGUCCUAGACACUUGGGAAGUGUUCGACUUGUGAUUUUGUGAUAUGAAAUCCAGCAUAUCUAUCUUGUUUGCUGUGUCAUAAAAUAAUAAUAAUAAUAAUAGUAAUAAUAAUAAUAACUAUAACUUUAUUUAUACCCCGCCACCAUCUCCCCACAGGCACUCGGGGCGGCUUACAUGGGUCAAGGCCCGAACAGCAUAAUUGAGCAAAAACAACAACAUAAAUAAAAUUCACAAUAUACAAAAGAUAAAACAGUGAUACAAUAAAACAAUAAUUUUACAACGGUUAAUAAUAUCAAUCAACCAGCAGGUACAGUUCAGUUUGUUUAUUUGAACCUUGUGUUGAUAAAAAAAGGGAAGGGAUGCAAACAAAUAAACAAAGAGCAUUACAUUUAAUAAUCAACUUGGGGUGUAUCAACGUUAUUGAACAAAUGCAGUGUGACACUAUUUUCAUUGCGAAUGUGAAUAUGUACAAUAUUUUUGGCAGACUAUAUCAAAUACAGUAGAGUCUCACUUAUCCAACGUAAACGGGCUGGCAGAACGUUGGAUAAGCAAAUAUGUUGGAUAAUAAGGAAAGAUUAAGGAAAAGCCUAUUAAACAUCAAAUUAGGUUAUGAUUUUACAAAUAAAGCACCAAAACAUCAUGUUAUACAACAAAUUUGACAGAAAAAGUAGUUCAAUACACAGUAAUGCUAUGUAGUAAUUACUGUAUUUGUGAAUUUAGCACCAAAAUAUCACGAUGUAUUGAAAACAUUGACUACAAAAAUGUGUUGGAUAAUCCAGAACGUUGGAUAAGCGAGAUUCUACUGUACUAGGAAAAGAGUGGGUGAUAACAAAGGAAAUAGCGGUAUUAGGGAAAAGAGUGGAAACGGGAAAUAAAAGGGAAAUAAAAGAAGCAAUAAUUGAAUGUGCACAAGCAGUAAGAGUAUUAGGGGUGGAAAGAUAAAUCAAAAUGGACAGUAAAUAAGUGGUAUCAAUAUAUGGUGGAGCAAAUGGAAUUUGAAAUUAUGAAUGUGAAAUUAAAUGUUUUAAAAACAAAUGAAAAUAGAACGAGAGAAAUGGAAGAAAGAUGGACAAGGGUAAAGAACUAUAUCAUGAAUCAAUCCGGAGAUCAAGCCAUAAGAAAUAAGAUACAAAUGUUAUGUAGUAUAUAGAAUGGAAAUGUAUAAAGAUAAAAAUAUAAAGAAAUGAAUAUGUAAAUGUAAACAAUCCUCGUUGUUGGUGGUGGGAAUUGUAAAUGUUUUGUAUGUGAACGGUUUAUGUUUUAAAAAAUAAAUAUUAGUUUAAAAAAACUAUUUUCAUUGCGAGGAAGUUGUGGGAGUUGUAGUCCCCUUGCAUUGAGCCAUGGUGAUUAAAGUGGUGUCAAACUGCAUUAAUUCGACAGUGCAGGUGCACCUUCGGUUUCUUUUGCGGUGACCUUCAAUCCAAGGAGAGAUAUCAUUGCUACUUCCGUUUAACCCCCUUUCAAGACAUACCGUAUCUACUAGAGUAUUGAGGCGGGGGGGGUUAAGGAACCCCAGGAAAUACCAUAUAUGGGCAGAGAUGGCGACAGCUAGCGACCCGGGUGCAUAAACUCACAGAAACAUGUGACUUCUGGGAAAUCAUGUGUUUCUGAAGAAAUGAAAGCUAAAGAUAAACAAACAGCGCAUGCGUACGCAGGCGCUGUUUGUAAUUUGUGAGCACGGCACAAAAAGGGUGCAGCCGGCCUGCUGGUCAGCACUGAUUGGGCAGCGUCACAACUCUAAGCCAAUGAAUUUGCUUGUGGGCGGGCAUAACCCGAACCCUGUAGUGUGUAUAAAUGUUCACUCAGCAUGCCACUGGUCGGUUCCCCUGGAGAAGCACUUUACUUUUGUGCUAGGGGGACCCCUAGUGGCCAUUAGCGAAAUAAAACUGCUUUCUGGGAAAUUCCUUCAGUUGUCCGUCUUCAAAUUCCUCCACUGCGCCAACAAGAACCGUAGCACGAAGGUUCCGCUACAUUUUCUGGUGACCCCGACGUGAUUUUUUCCUAUAAGACGGGCCAGGAGAUUUGGAGACGGAUCCCGUUGGCGGGACGGCCUCAACUCAGCGGUGGGGGCCUGAGGCAACUACCCGUGAGACGAGAAGGGGCCCCUGAAUACUACACGACC